GAUGAACGCUGGCGGCGUGCCUAAUACAUGCAAGUCGAGCGAACAGAUGAGGAGCUUGCUCCUCUGACGUUAGCGGCGGACGGGUGAGUAACACGUGGAUAACCUACCUAUAAGACUGGGAUAACUUCGAAACCGGAGCUAAUACCGGAUAAUAUAUUGAACCGCAUGGUUCAAUAGUGAAAGACGGUUUUGCUGUCACUUAUAGAUGGAUCCGCGCCGCAUUAGCUAGUUGGUAAGGUAACGGCUUACCAAGGCAACGAUGCGUAGCCGACCUGAGAGGGUGAUCAGCCACACUGGAACUGAGACACGGUCCAGACUCCUACGGGAGGCAGCAGUAGGGAAUCUUCCGCAAUGGGCGAAAGCCUGACGGAGCAACGCCGCGUGAGUGAUGAAGGUCUUCGGAUCGUAAAACUCUGUUAUUAGGGAAGAACAAAUGUGUAAGUAACUAUGCACGUCUUGACGGUACCUAAUCAGAAAGCCACGGCUAACUACGUG
rnacentral:rRNA from 1 species